GCUGAAAGGGAACCGAAUCGUUUCCAGUGUCUAUAAUCCGCGGUAUAUUUCAUUGGCGAGUGUAUGUGUGCAUGUACCGUAGCAGUGGCUUCGCGGCUUCGCUUGGUAUGUGUGCUGUGUGUGCUUGCUAGUGCCCUGUACUGUGGUGGGACGUCAAUGUCGGUUCGUAAACUGCGGGAAAUGACUGCCGAGGAGGUAGGGCUUACGCUUGCGUUUGUCUGUUAUAUCUUGGCGGACGUAGUAGUCGUGGUUGGGACUGAGGUGCCUACAACGUGCUUUUGAGUGGGACUGCGUCUCCGUGUGCACCAUGUGCGGAUAGCUUGCUAUGUGUGUGUGGUUGUGCGUGGAUUGAUGCGGUCUAAAACUUGUUGCCGUUCGGGACGUUGGCGAAAUGGAGCGAUCCGACCCGUCUUGAAACACGGACCAAGGAGUCUAAUAUGUGUGCAAGUGUUAGGGUGAUAAACCCCAGCGCGAAAUGAAAGUAAAGGGCAGCGAAAGUUGUCUGAGGUAGGAAACGUUGCGGGCUUCGGUCUGCGAUGUGGCACUAUCGACCGAUCAUGAACCUUCGUGGUGAAAGAUUUGAGUUUGAGCACAUAUAUUGGUACCCGAAAGAUGGUGAACUAUGCCUGAGUAGGGUGAAGCCAGGGGAAACUCUGGUGGAAGCCCGUAGCGAUUCUGACGUGCAAAUCGAUCGUCUAACUUGGGUAUAGGGGCGAAAGACUAAUCGAACCAUCUAGUAGCUGGUUCCUUCCGAAAUUUCCCUCAGGAUAGCUGCAACAUAUUUUCGAUAGUUUUAUGGGGUAAAGCGAAUGAUUAGAGGAUUCGGGGAAGAAACUUCCUUGACCUAUUCUCAAACUUUAAAUCUGUAAGACUCGUAG
rnacentral:rRNA from 1 species